UACGUAGGGGGCAAGCGUUGUCCGGAAUUAUUGGGCGUAAAGGGCGCGUAGGCGGAUUAUUAAGUCUGGUGUGAAAGAUCAGGGCUCAACCCUGAGAGUGCAUCGGAAACUGGUGAUCUUGAGGGACAGGAGAGGAAAGUGGAAUUCCAACGUGUAGCGGUGAAAUGCGUAGAUAUGUGGAGGAACACCGGUGGCGAAGGCGACUUUCUGGACUGUAACUGACGCUGAGGCGCGAAAGCUGGGGGAGC
rnacentral:rRNA from 1 species